GAUGAACGCUGGCGGCGUGCCUAAUACAUGCCAGUCGAGCGAACGGACGAGAAGCUUGCUUCUCUGAUGUUAGCGGCGGACGGGUGAGUAACACGUGGAUAACCUACCUAUAAGACUGGGAUAACUUCGGGAAACCGGAGCUAAUACCGGAUAAUAUUUUGAACCGCAUGGUUCAAAAGUGAAAGACAGUCUUGCUGUCACUUAUAGAUGGAUCCGCGCUGCAUUAGCUAGUUGGUAAGGUAACGGCUUACCAAGGCAACGAUGCAUAGCCGACCUGAGAGGGUGAUCGGCCACACUGGAACUGAGACACGGUCCAGACUCCUACGGGAGGCAGCAGUAGGGAAUCUUCCGCAAUGGGCGAAAGCCUGACGGAGCAACGCCGCGUGAGUGAUGAAGGUCUUCGGAUCGUAAAACUCUGUUAUUAGUGAAGAACAUAUGUGUAAGUAACUGUGCACAUCUUGACGGUACCUAAUCAGAAAGCCACGGCUAACUACGUG
rnacentral:rRNA from 1 species